rnacentral:rRNA from 1 species
GAGUCCCUACGGGGCGCAGCAGUGAGGAAUAUUGGUCAAUGGGCGCAGGCCUGAACCAGCCAAGUCGCGUGAGGGAUGACGGCCCUACGGGUUGUAAACCUCUUUUGCCGGGGAGCAACGGGCGCCACGUGUGGCGCCACUGAGAGUACCCGGAGAAAAAGCAUCGGCUAACUCCGUGCCAGCAGCCGCGGUAAUACGGAGGAUGCGAGCGUUAUCCGGAUUUAUUGGGUUUAAAGGGUGCGUAGGCGGAUCGUUAAGUCAGUGGUCAAAUUGAGGGGCUCAACCCCUUCCC